rnacentral:rRNA from 1 species
UACGGAGGGGGCUAGCGUUGUUCGGAAUUACUGGGCGUAAAGCGUGCGCAGGCGGUUAUGCAAGACAGAUGUGAAAUCCCCGGGCUCAACCUGGGAACUGCAUUUGUGACUGCAUAGCUAGAGUACGGUAGAGGGGGAUGGAAUUCCGCGUGUAGCAGUGAAAUGCGUAGAUAUCAAGUGGAACACCAGUGGCGAAGGCGAGUCCCUGGACAACUCCUGACACUGAGGCACGAAAGCUAGGGGAGCAAACAGG